rnacentral:rRNA from 1 species
UUUAUUUAAAGUCUGGCCUGCUCCCUGAGGUUUUUAAGAGCCGCAGUAUUUUGACUGUGCGAAGGUAGCAUAAUAAUUAGUUUCUUUAUUGGGAACUGGAAUGAAUGGUUGGACGAGAUAAUUACUGUCUCUUCCCUAUAUUUGUGAAUUUGACUUUUGAGUAAAAAGGCUCAAAUUUUUUUAAAAGACGAGAAGACCCUAUAGAGUUUUAUUGUUGUUUUUAUAGAAUUUUGGUAUUUAAAUUUUUAAUGUUAAAGGCAAUUUGGUUGGGGUGAUUGGAAAAUUUAAUUAACUUUUCCUUUAUUUAAACAUUUAUUUAUGAUUAUAUGAUCCAAUUUUUUUGAUUGUAAGAGAUAAUUACCUUAGGGAUAACAGCGUAAUUUUUCUUGAGAGUUCUAAUCGAAAGGAGAGUUUGCG